rnacentral:rRNA from 1 species
AUUGAACGCUGGCGGCAUGCUUUACACAUGCAAGUCGAACGGUAACAGCACUUCGGUGGCUGACGAGUGGCGAACGGGUGAGUAAUACAUCGGAACGUGCCUAGUAGUGGGGGAUAACUACUCGAAAGAGUAGCUAAUACCGCAUGAGAUCUAAGGAUGAAAGCAGGGGACCUUCGGGCCUUGCGCUACUAGAGCGGCUGAUGGCAGAUUAGGUAGUUGGUGGGAUAAAAGCUUACCAAGCCGACGAUCUGUAGCUGGUCUGAGAGGACGACCAGCCACACUGGGACUGAGACACGGCCCAGACUCCUACAGGAGGCAGCAGUGGGGAAUUUUGGACAAUGGGCGCAAGCCUGAUCCAGCAAUGCCGCGUGCAGGAUGAAGGCCUUCGGGUUGUAAACUGCUUUUGUACGGAACGAAAAGCCCUCUUCUAAUACAGGAGGGUCAUGACGGUACCGUAAGAAUAAGCACCGGCUAACUACGUG